GAUGAACGCUGGCGGCGUGCUUAACACAUGCAAGUCGAAAGAGAAAUACUUUAUUGAAACUUCGGCGGAUUUAAUUUAUUUUUAGUGGCGGACGGGUGAGUAACGCGUGGGUAACCUGCCUUAUACUGGGGGAUAACAGCCAGAAAUGGCUGCUAAUACCGCAUAAGCGCACAGAACCGCAUGGUUCGGUGUGAAAAACUCCGGUGGUAUAAGAUGGACCCGCGUUGGAUUAGCUAGUUGGCAGGGCAGCGGCCUACCAAGGCGACGAUCCAUAGCCGGCCUGAGAGGGUGAACGGCCACAUUGGGACUGAGACACGGCCCAGACUCCUACGGGAGGCAGCAGUGGGGAAUAUUGCACAAUGGGGGAAACCCUGAUGCAGCGACGCCGCGUGAAGGAAGAAGUAUCUCGGUAUGUAAACUUCUAUCAGCAGGGAAGAUAAUGACGGUAC
rnacentral:rRNA from 1 species